GAACGCUGGCGGCAGCCUACACAUGCAAGUCGAACGGUAACAUUUCUAGCUUGCUAGAAGAUGACGAGUGGCGGACGGGUGAGUAAUGCUUGGGAACUUGCCUUUGCGAGGGGGAUAACAGUUGGAAACGACUGCUAAUACCGCAUAAUGUCUUCGGACCAAACGGGGCUUAGGCCCCGGCGCAAAGAGAGGCCCAAGUGAGAUUAGCUAGUUGGUAAGGUAACGGCUUACCAAGGCGACGAUCUCUAGCUGUUCUGAGAGGAAGAUCAGCCACACUGGGACUGAGACACGGCCCAGACUCCUACGGGAGGCAGCAGUGGGGAAUAUUGCACAAUGGGGGAAACCCUGAUGCAGCCAUGCCGCGUGUGUGAAGAAGGCCUUCGGGUUGUAAAGCACUUUCAGUUGUGAGGAAAAGUUAGUAGUUAAUACCUGCUAGCCGUGACGUUAAUAACAGAAGAAGCACCGGCUAACUCCGUGCCAGCAGCCGCGGUAAUACGGAGGGUGCGAGCGUUAAUCGGAAUUACUGGGCGUAAAGCGCACGCAGGCGGUUUGUUAAGCUAGAUGUGAAAGCCCCGGGCUCAACCUGGGAUGGUCAUUUAGAACUGGCAGACU
rnacentral:rRNA from 1 species